rnacentral:rRNA from 1 species
ACGCUCGACACCUACGGGACAGCAGUGGGGAAUAUUGCACAAUGGGGGAAACCCUGAUGCAGCGACGCCGCGUGAAGGAAGAAGUAUCUCGGUAUGUAAACUUCUAUCAGCAGGGAAGAAAAUGACGGUAUCUGACUAAGAAGCCCCGGCUAACUACGUGCCAGCAGCCGCGGUAAUCUGAGCGGGCUGGCAAGGC